UGAGUACGAGAUGCUACGGCAUCGAAGCAGUCUAUGUCAUACUUCCAAGAAAAGCUUGCACUGUCAGAAACAGAUAAUGCCUGUACCAUAACCGACACAGGUGGGUAGGUAGAGUAUACUAAGGGGCGCGAGAUAACUCUCUCUAAGGAACUCGGCAAAAUGACUCCGUAACUUCGGGAGAAGGAGUGCCUUAUUUUUAAGGUUGCAAUAACAAGAUCCAAGCAACUGUUUACCAAAAACACAGGUCUCCGCUAAGUCGUAAGACGAUGUAUGGGGGCUGACGCCUGCCCAGUGCCAGAAGGUUAAAGAAGUCGGUUAGCAUUCGCGAAGCUGGUAACUGAAGCCCUGGUGAACGGCGGCCGUAACAAUAACGGUCCUAAGGUAGCGAAAUUCCUUGUCGGGUAAGUUCCGACCCGCACGAAAGGCGUAAUGAUUUGGAUACUGUCUCGGAGAGGGGCUCGGUGAAAUAGACUUGUCUGUGAAGAUGCGGACUACCUGCACCUGGACAGAAAGACCCUAUGAAGCUUUACUGUAACUUGAAAUUGAAAUUGGACUUUAUUUGCGCAGUAUAGGUGGGAGGCGUUGAAAAUAUUCUUGCGGGAAUAUUGGAGCCAUCAGUGAGAUACCACUCUUGUAAUGUUAGAUUUCUAACUUUAUAUCAUUAUCUGGUUAAAGAACAGUUUCAGGCGGGCAGUUUGACUGGGGCGGUCGCCUCCCAAAUGGUAACGGAGGCGCACAAAGGUUUCCUCUGAACGGGUAGAAAUCGUAUCUAGAGUGUAAAGGCAUAAGGAAGCUUGACUGUGAGACCUACAAGUCGAGCAGGGACGAAAGUCGGUCUUAGUGAUCUGACGGUGCUGAGUGGAAAGGCCGUCACUCAACGGAUAAAAGUUACUCUAAGGAUAACAGGCUGAUCUCCCCCAAGAGUUCACAUCGACGGGGAGGUUUGGCACCUCGAUGUCGGCUCAUCGCAUCCUGGGGCGGUAGUACGUCCCAAGGGUUGGGCUGUUCGCCCAUGAAAGCGGUACGCGAGCUGGGUUCAGAACGUCGUGAGACAGUUCGGUCCAUAUCCGGUGUAGGCGUUAGAAUAUUGAGAGGAGCCUUCUUUAGUACGAGAGGACCGAGAAGGACAUACCUCUGGUGUACCAGUUAUCGUGCCAACGGUAAACGCUGGGUAGCUAUGUAUGGAGUGGAUAACCGCUGAAAGCAUCUAAGUGGGAAGCCCACCUCAAGAUAAGUAUUCUCA
rnacentral:rRNA from 1 species